ensembl:lincRNA
AUGAUGUGGCUAGGGUCCAGGCAAGCAGUGGUAGAUAUUGCCAGAUUAAGAUAUCCCCUUCUAAAAAAACAGCCAGCAGGUAACCGAGCUGCUGCUGUUGCUUUCACUCUGUGUCCCUUUCUUUCCCCUCUGAUCACUGCCAAAGGACAGAGCCCCCAGCAUGUGAAAAUGAAACAGCGGAGCUGCCCGUCAUCUCCACAGCUAAUCCCGCACCUGAGAAACCAACCCCACAAAACAGAUGAACUGAAAAUCCAAUCUCUCUGGUGGUAUCCAAUAGAUGGCUGGCACGGUUAAUAAGAAUAUUGCUGUCUCAAAUCAUUUCUCAAAGUGGAUGAGUAUGUUCCAUACCCAUCAAAUUCUUGCCUCACAGCUCAGGACGGCUCAGUGUCAGAACUCAAUAUGAAUUGACAGAAGGAAGCUUUACCUGCUGGGGUAGGUCUCCUUUUCCCUUGAUUGACAAAUAUGGAUUAACAGACUCUCUUCCCUCAAGUGUGACUUGCUUGUCUCUUGUAUCUGCAUAUAGAUUUAUUGCAUUAAAGCCGUGUGUAUUCAUGACCAAAUAGCCUGCAGUUUAAGGAUUAAUUGGAAACAAAUUAUGCCAUCUCGCUGCGUGUUCCGAUCUCUACAAGAAAAAAAGCUAUUGGGAGCACCUGGGGACAGCAUAUGUCAUUGGUGUACCACUUUGUUCUGUUCAAUUUAACGCACACGAUAGAACAGCUAGGUUUCUAAAUGGGUGGACUGACUCUCUGAAACCAAAGAGAACAGGCCGAAAGAGAGACAGAGGAAGACUCACAAUGUGCGAUGUUCUGUGUCACAGCAUUCUAAAUACUUUAAAUCUGAGUUUUAAGACAUAAUAUAGGCCAUAAAUCCAUCCAUUCAUUUUCAAACCACUUUAUUCAAUACAGGGCUGCCUUGGAUCUGGAGCCUAUUAAAGCCCCUAAAUAAAUAUUUUUAUUUAAAUGGACAGAUUUUAUUAAGAAUACAUUCACAUUACACUGUGGUCUUCCCCAAGAAGAAACAAUAAAUGCUUAGGGAAAAAUUUUGGAUUUUUAAAACCAACUGUCUGUCGACAUAUACUGUAUACUGUAUGAAUGUAUGUAUAACUUAUCUACAGUACAUAAGAUUUGUAAAUUAGGACUCUAAUUGAAAUCGCAUGAAUUUAGAGUGAAUUGCAAAGGGGCAUUCCCAGAUACAAUCAUUAUUUUAAGAUAAUAUGAUAAUUAGACUUUGCUGAGGCCAAAAAACAAGUUUAGAACCUCAGAAGAAAUUUAGUUUUUACUGUAAUUAGAAACAGCAUAUAUGUGUGUCGGUGCAUACAGAUGAGCUCUAUUUUAACCAUAUCAGAUGUUUUUGCAUUUCAUUGCAUGAAGAAAGCUUUUUUUAAGGGUCUACAUAAAGCUUGCAAAAAAGAAAUGGCCUAAGAUUCUGCAGAAUUUGACUGCUGAGAAUACAGAGUGGGAUCUCAUUCCUCUGUAAUAAGUCAUUUGACCAACAGCUUGCAUAUUACAGUAGAAGGCAAUUCCUUUUUAAAAUACUGUACAUUGUAAAGAUACUGUAAUUAAAACCUUAAUAAUGUGACU